rnacentral:rRNA from 1 species
AUUGAACGCUGGCGGCAGGCCUAACACAUGCAAGUCGAACGAGUGGCAGACGGGUGAGUAAUGUCUGGGAACCUGCCCGAUGGAGGGGGAUAACUACUGGAAACGGUAGCUAAUACCGCAUACCAUCGGAUGUGCCCAGAUGGGAUUAGCUCGUUGGUGGGGUAAUGGCUCACCUAGGAGACGAUCCCUAGCUGGUCUGAGAGGAUGACCAGCCACACGGGAACUGAGACACGGUCCAUACUCCUACGGGAGGCAGCAGUGGGGAAUAUAGCCCAAGCGGCACAAGCCUGAUGCAGCCAUGCCGCGUGUAUGAAGAAGGCCUUCGGGUUGUAAAGUACUUUCAGCGAGGAGGCGUUACUCGCAGAAGAAGCACCGGCUAACUCCGUGCCAGCAGCCGCGGUAAGAC